GACGAACGCUGGCGGCGUGCUUAACACAUGCAAGUCGAACGGAAAGGCCUGCUUUCCCUUGUGGAUUGCGGGUGCUCGAGUGGCGAACGGGUGAGUAACACGUGAGUGAUCUGCCCCCAACUUGGGUAUAAGCCUGGGAAACUGGGUCUAAUUCCCGAUAGGACUGCAGGGUGGUGCCUGUGGUGGAACACGAUUUUCUAGUGGUUGGGGAUGAGCUCGCGGCCUUUCAGCUUGUUGGUGGGGAAUGGCCGACCAAGGCGGCGACGGGUAGCCGGCCUGAGAGGGUGGACGGCCACAUUGGGACUGAGAGACGGCCCAGACUCCUACGGGAGGCAGCAGGGGGGAAUAUUGCACAAUGUGCGGAAGCCUGAUGCAGCGACGCCGCGUGGGGGAUGACGGCCUUCGGGUUGUAAACUCCUUUCGACCGCGAGGAAGCCACCUGGUUGGAAGGGUGGUGACGGUAGUGGUAGAAGAAGCACCGGCUAACUACGUG
rnacentral:rRNA from 1 species